rnacentral:rRNA from 1 species
UGGUCAGUAGGUUGGUCGUGCCACCGGUACGUACUGGUCUCACUGAUUCCUCCUUCCUGAAGAACCGUAAUGCCAUUAAUUUGGUGUUGCGGGGAAACAGGACUGUUACUUUGAAAAAAUUAGAGUGUUUAAAGCAAGCUAACGCUUGAAUACAUUAGCACGGAAUAAUGAAAUAGGACGAUCGAUCCUAUUUUGUUGGUUUCUAGGAUUGACGUA